UACAGAUGGUUGAAGACUGGGCUCCCUGGGUCUCCACCUUUUGAUGGGAGUAGUUGCAAAGAAUUUGCAAAAAUCUUUAACACAGCAAGCACUGUGUCAGUUUGAAUCCUUCAAGAAGCCAAGAUGGGAUUAGAUAUGCAAGAGAUUUAUUGAAGGGAAAUAUCUGUGAAGGGUAAAGAGAGAGAGAAGGACUAAUCAGAGAGAGUCUUCAGACCACAAUGAAGAUCUGACAUCUGUGAAAGGAGAGUGGGAAAGGAAUACUGGGUAGUAAAAGACUCAAAUUUCAGGAGGAUCCUGGCAAAGUCUCAGCCCUGAGUAAAAGUUGCCCAUUAGAGGAGUCCCGUGGUGGGCAGAAAUGGACUGGAUCUAAUACCCCCACAGUGCUAAGUCAUUGGCUGGGAGCAUACCAAGAAAAAUGUUGCCUGGUGGAUCCGAAGGGACAACAGCUAAAGUUGUCAAUCAGCUAUGCUUUUCAGAGUAGAUCCUGUUGAACGGCAAGUGGUUGAUCUUUCCUGAGGAGGAAUUCUGCUACCAACUGUGAAGUGUUGGAGGCAUGGGGCAGAAGUCAACCCCAAGGCAAUGAUUUCAUCGUGCCCCAGCAUCAAAUACCACUUUGAGUUAUCCUCCCUGGGCAAUUGGAAAAGGAACAUGUGAGGAAGUGCCUUGUCGUAGACCAACGCUUCUGGUGAGAACAACUGGAACAGCUGAAUUCAAAUUUUCUUUUUAAGGAUAUCAGAAGCCCUGUCAAGAAGGUAGCUCUGACAAUCCAAAAUCCUGGAGAGAAGAGAAGCUCGUGGAGUUGGACCAACAUUCUAUGCAUUGCUUUUUGCCAGAGGGCAUUUGCUGACUCUUGGGAAGCACACACUGAUGCUGAGAAGACAGGGAGAGGUCAGCUGAGGAGGCUGAGGAGCCAGUGGAGUUUAAAAUCAUCUCAUGGGACUAAGGAGACAAAACCGGAGCUCGAGAGUGCCAAAAUAUCUAAGACUUGAGAUCCCAAGGUUAUGGAUAGAAGGGAGAUGCAAAGAAGGGAGCCUACAAUCCUGCAACAGUUUUCCCCCGGGCCAUUUCCUGCCAUAAACUGCAUAGAGCAAGAGGCUCAGAAGCCAAGAAGAUGAACGCUAUAAAGCUAAGCAGAACUGAGCUUUUAACAGCAAAAAGAGAAGUAAAAAGA
rnacentral:lncRNA from 1 species